CCUACGGGAGGCUGCAGUGGGGAAUAUUGCACAAUGGGCGCAAGCCUGAUGCAGCCAUGCCGCGUGUGUGAAGAAGGCCUUCGGGUUGUAAAGCACUUUCAGCGGGGAGGAAGGCGGUGAGGUUAAUAACCUCAUCGAUUGACGUUACCCGCAGAAGAAGCACCGGCUAACUCCGUGCCAGCAGCCGCGGUAAUACGGAGGGUGCAAGCGUUAAUCGGAAUUACUGGGCGUAAAGCGCACGCAGGCGGUCUGGCAAGUCGGAUGUGAAAUCCCCGGGCUCAACCUGGGAACUGCAUUCGAAACUGGAAGGGUAGAGUCUUGUAGAGGGGGGUAGAAUCCCAGGUGUAGCGGUGAAAUGCGUAGAGAUCUGGAGGAAUACCGGUGGAGAAGGCGGCCCCCUGGACAAAGACUGACGCGCAGGUGCGAAAGCGGGGGGAGCAAACAGGAUUAGAUACCCGAGUAGUC
rnacentral:rRNA from 1 species